UAGCGAAAUGUUUGUCGAGAAGGGUUGUAGCUGGCCUUGUUUGGCACGUGCACGCCUGGAUCACAAAUUUCACCCUUCACAACCUGUGCACACACCUUGCAGCUUUGGAUGAUACGGAAUGGGUCUUUGAUCCUGAUGCAUCGGCCUCAGCUGUAAGCUUUUAUCACACACACUUAGUCAAGUAUAAGAAUGUAACUGUCGCAGCGUGUAACAGCGCGAAAUAUACAACUUUCAGCAACGGAUCUCUUGGCUCUCGCAUCGAUGAAGAACGCAGCGAAAUGCGAUAAGUAAUGUGAAUUGCAGAAUUCAGUGAAUCAUCGAAUCUUUGAACGCACCUUGCGCUCCUUGGUAUUCCGAGGAGCAUGCCUGUUUGAGUGUCAUGAAAUUCUCAACUGCCUUUUGUGUGGGUUUCCGCUCCCACAAGGGUGAAGUUGGAUUUGGAGGAUUAUCUUGCUGGCGCUCUUCAUUGAGCUCUGUCGGCUCCUCUCGAAUGCAUAAGCUUUCCAAUGCCUUUUUGCGAAGCGACUCUGACGUGAUAAUCAUUUACGUUUGACGUUGAAUUUGCUAUGGGCACAAAUGGAUGGUAAAAAUGCAGGUUGUGCCUUCUGGGUGCGCCUUUGACAAAUUCGACCUCAAAUCAGGUAGGACUACCCGCUG
rnacentral:rRNA from 1 species